rnacentral:tRNA from 1 species
GUAGGUAUGGCUCAAGUAGCAGAGGGCCUGCCUGGCAAGUGCGAGGCCCUGAGUUUAAACCUCAGUAUCUCCA